AACGAACGCUGGCGGCGUGGAUUAGGCAUGCAAGUCGAACGCGAAAGAGGGAGCAAUCCCUCAAGUAGAGUGGCGAACGGGUGAGUAACGCGUGAAGAACCUGCCUUCAACAGGGGGAUAACACUCCCAACGGGGUGGCUAAUACCGCAUGAGACCACGGGUCCGCAUGGACCUGAGGUCAAAGGUGGCCUCUGCUUGCAAGCUACCGGUUGAAGAUGGCUUCGCGUCCCAUAGCUAGUUGGCGGUGUAAAAGACCACCAAGGCGACGAUGGGUAGCUGGUCUGAGAGGAUGGUCAGCCACACUGGGACUGAGAUACGGCCCAGACUCCUACGGGAGGCAGCAGUCGAGAGGCUUUUGGCAAUGGGGAAACCCUGACCAAGCGACGCCGCGUGGAGGAUGAAGGCCCUUGGGUUGUAAACUCCUUUUGUCGGGAAGAAAUGCGAUCAGGUAAACAAUCUGGUCGUUUGACGGUACCGGCGAAUAAGCUCCGGCUAACUCCGUG
rnacentral:rRNA from 1 species